rnacentral:rRNA from 1 species
CCCGCAGCACAAGUGGUGGUCAUUAUUAUUGGGCCUAAAGCGUCCGUGGCUGGCUUGUUAGAUGCCUGGGUAAAUCGAUGCGCUCAACGUAUCGAACUCCGGGUAGACCGGCAAGCUUGGGACCGGGAGAGGCGUGAGCUACUCGAGGGGUAGGGGUAAAAUCCUGUAAUCCUUCGGGGAGGACCAGUGGCGAAGGCGUCACGCUAGAACGGCUCCGACAGUGAGGGACGAAGCCCUGGGGCGCAAACCGGAUUAGAUACCCGGGUAGUCCAGGGUGUAAACGCUGCAGACUUGGUGUCGGUGAUCCUACGAGGGUUGCCGGUGCCGUAGAGAAGUUGUUUAGUCUGCCGCCUGGGGAGUACGGUCGCAAGACUG